UACGAAGGGGGCGAGCGUUGUUCGGAUUUAUUGGGCGUAAAGGGCGCGCAGGCGGCUUGUUUUGUCAGGCGUGAAAGCCCCGGGCUUAACCUGGGAACUGCGUUUGAUACGGACGGGCUAGAGUUCGGGAGAGGAGAGUGGAAUUCCCAGUGUAGAGGUGAAAUUCGCAGAUAUUCGGAGGAACACCAGUGGCGAAGGCGGCCAACUGGAUCGGUAUUGACGCUCAUGUACGAAAGCGUGGGGAUCAAACAGG
rnacentral:rRNA from 1 species